GAGGAGGACCGCACGGCAGAUAAUCCCAUGCUGAGUCACUCAAGCUUCAGCAGCGGGUCCUAAGGUUUCCUGGCAGCGGGACGUGGCUGGUUGACGAUGCCCUCCUCCAGGAGAAGUCACUGAAAACCUGCCAAGUGGCUCCGGGAAGGAUCGCACUGCCUGGUGAAAGGGAAAGAAGGAAAAGAAGUGGGUCCCCCCCCCCCUUUCCCCUGCUUGAACUCGGACAGGGCUCAGAUCUCGGAGCCUGAGAAGGGCAGCGUGGGGGUGAGAGAGAAGAGUGGGGACCCACAGAGAGAGGAAGAGGCUGGAUCCUUGAAACCCUCCCUCAGAGUCGGAUGGCACCCACCGAGGGACACACGAGCAACAGAAACCGUGAGUCAUCAAGGCUUCUCCGGGUGUGAACCGUCCCAAUGACGGGGACAGGAGUGUCACGGCCCAUCCGAGGCAGGAAGUAAUUGCCCUGGUGCUGGUGGCUUUAAUAUCAGAGAGAAGAAGCCUAAGAGAAACUGAGCGGCGCAAAAGAAAGAGGGAAGUAAUACAUGUGAAUGGAGACUUCAUCCUCCCCCAAAUUUUAUUAUGAAAAUCUUAAACGGCAAAGCUGAAAGAGCUUCUCCAGUGAGCCCCUGUCCCACCACCUAGAGUCUACCAUUAACACAUGACUUCACUUGCUGGAUCAUAGUCUGUUCUGUAUCUCCCUCUCUCUCUCUCUCUCUCUGUCUCUGUCUCUGAGAAUUUUUUUGAUUAGAUGAGUACCAGCUUGCCCUGGGGACUCACUCUUUGCAGGGAAAAUGCACACCAGACUCACUUUCCAGGGAGCCACUCACUUUCCAAGCUCAUCAGCCCACAACCAAUCCAAGCCCUUCAUAUCUGACCCCCUCCCCCCACCUUGUGCUAUUGUGAUUUGUAAGAAAUAUGUAUUUGGCCUUCAUUCCUUUCCAGGCACAGAGCUCCUAAAACCCUUGGGAUUUCCUUUUUUUUUUUUUUUUUUUAACGUUUAUUUAUUAUUGAGAGACAGAG